GGGGAGGGCUGAGCGAGAGGUGCCCCCACCCUAUCACAGGGACAGGAAUCUGAAUCACAAACACGCCGACCCUCAGAAACAGGACGGGACACAAAGACUCGGGAUGUUUAACUAGAGAGACUGCCGCACACACCACAGAAACAGGGACUUUGAACGCCC
rnacentral:sRNA from 1 species